UACGAAGGGGGCUAGCGUUGCUCGGAAUCACUGGGCGUAAAGGGUGCGUAGGCGGGUCUUUAAGUCAGGGGUGAAAUCCUGGAGCUCAACUCCAGAACUGCCUUUGAUACUGAGGAUCUUGAGUUCGGGAGAGGUGAGUGGAACUCCGAGUGUAGAGGUGAAAUUCGUAGAUAUUCGGAAGAACACCAGUGGCGAAGGCGACUUACUGGACACAUAUUGACGCUGAGGUGCGAAAGCGUGGGGAGCAAACAGG
rnacentral:rRNA from 1 species